GCUUUUGUACACACCGCCCGUCGCUACUACCGAUUGAAUGAUUUAGUGAGGUCUUCGGACUGGUACGCGGCAUCGACUCUGUCGUUGCCGAUGCUACCGGAAAGAUGACCAAACUUGAUCAUUUAGAGGAAGUAAAAGUCGUAACAAGGUUUCUGUAGGUGAACCUGCGGAAGGAUCAUUA
rnacentral:rRNA from 1 species